CUUACAAAAGGGGCAAUAAAAUAUAUUAAAUUAUAUUAUGUAUUUUUUUUAUUUAAGUGUUGUUUGCAUUGCAUUAUGUACAUCGAAUAUAUCUCAAUUCAUUUGUAAACUUAAAAGAUAAAAAAAAAUAUGGUUAAAUUUCUUAAAUUUAUUUAUGCUAUAGUUUUGCUUUUUUCCCUAUUCCUUUUCUCAGCCAAGGCUCUCAUUCCAUGUGAAACUCAUGAAGAUUGUCCAAAUAUGGAUCCUCCAGGGGACGCGGUUGAUGCCAUUUUCAUGUGCCUUGGUAAAGCAUGCUAUGUGGUUAUCAAGUUAGUAUAAGAAAGAAAUAUAAAAAUAAGCUAUGAAUAAUAUAUGUUAAGGUCGAAUAUUUCAUAAGAUGCCAUUUAAGAUUUAUGCUUUCAAUAAAAAAUUGUAUUUUUAUAUAGUUUAAAAUUAUAAUUUUGUUUUCUAAAAUAUCGACAAUGAAAUAAAAAAGAAAAUAUAUAUAUUUAAACCAGAA